rnacentral:lncRNA from 1 species
GCGCGCGUGGCCGCCGGCUUUGGCCGGGCUGUGCUCCCGCGUCCCGCGUUGGCAGCUUAGAGUGGGGCGCGGGUCGGUGUGCUGAGGUCCCUAGCCUGCUGUGACACUCUCUCAGGAGGUGCCGCACUUCCACCAGCCGGCAGGACUGGAGUGGGGCGCAUGUGUAAAUCGGCAGCAGCGACCGCGGGCCGUGUCCUGAGGGCGGGGAGCGCGGGCCUCCGCGUGAGGCGCCGCGGGGUGAGGCCACGUGCGCGAGUUCCCGGGUCCCUCACUGGGGAACCGGGCUGGCCGCGCCCUGCGUCCUUUCCAGAAGGGGCUUUUACCCAGAUGCUGGCUCAGUGCUGCCCUGCAGUGGCCAAUGGUGGGAAUGGCUACUUGGAUUGGCCUCUUCAAACUGGAGUGCUUCAGGGCUGCCACGUGAGUUCUGCAGUCAGGGCAGUCCUGCUGCUUCCCCAAGGGACAGACCCAUCCUAUGAGAACAUUCUGUAACAUUCUACACGGCUCUCUCCUCCCUGGCUGUUGUCUGACCUUGCUCUCCUGGUCCGCCUUCCUCUGUGGUGGCACCUUCUCUGCCUCCUCCUAGUCCUCGGGGCCGUCUGUGCAGGUGAGUGAAGGAGGAUGCAGGAGUUUGGCUUCAAGUAUCUCUUCCAUUGGCUCCUCCUGGGGUGGGGCUGCACGUGGUUCUCGCCUACUGACACUCACGCGUGAUGACUCUUUGGGCCCAAUUGGUGAGUCUGCAGAGCUGAUUUCAGAGUGUGAACUCGAUGAGGGACGCAGAGAACAGAAGUAGGGAAGCAACCAUGGAAAGUGACACUGUUUGACAAGCUAGGAAGGAGCAGUGGCAUUGAGCGUGAGAAGCCACCUCCGGCCCAUGUCCAGAGCUCUCCAGUGUGCACUAGCCCGUGUGAAUGACUGGACGGAGUGGUCGCUGCUGCACAGGUGUGGGCUUCGGCUCUGAGCGGGAAGUGACUUGUCUUGGUUCCUACAGAGAAGAGAACCUGGUCUUGUACCUUGAGAUGUGGCUGGAGGGGUUACAGAAGACAGCAAAGGAAGGAGGCAUUCUGCAAACUCUUCACAGAGAUUCUUGAGCUGAGCCUCGAAAGAUGAGUGUGGACACUUGCCAGGCUGAUCUACUUUGACAGGUGGGUACAUCUAGGUGGGAAGGGGCCGAGAAGAGGGAAGCUCACUCCAGGUGGAAAGAGCAAGUCACAUGAUCAGGGCAUGUGAGGCUGGAUUGGAAGGGUCUGUGGCGUGGAAGACACGGCUUUUGUAAGCUCUGCUAAGACAUUGGGAUUUGUCUUGUAGGCCACAGAGAGUCAUGGGUUGGCUUUAAGCAGGCAACUGACAUUGCCAAAUGUGUGCCUUGGAGAGACCUCUGGCUGCUGGAGGGAUCCCGGAGGCCAAUGUGGAGCAGGGAGUCCAGUUAUGUGGUUGUUGUAUCGUCCAAACAAACACUGUGACAGGGCACUGGCAGAGGGGAUGGAAGGGAGUGGAAAGACAUCAAGGAGGUAGAAUCUAUAAAGCCCAGUGAGUACAUGUGACAGGUCAUAUGUAUGCAUCUGGUUCAUUUUAAGUACUGUGUGAUAUUCCACUAGGCGAAUACACCACAAUUUAGAUGUCUAUUCUCCUAAUGAUAGUUAUUUUCACUUUCUCACGAUUGCAAACAGGACUGUGAUGAACACCACUGUGCUGAUCUCCCUGUACAUGUGUGAGAAACUGUCUUUAGAAUGGUUAUUUAGAAUUGAUGGUUUUGCUGAGUUGUGAGGUUUGCACAUCUUCAGAUCUACUGGAUAGUCCCAAAUUCCCCCUCGAAGCGAUUAUACCAGCACCUCUCCCUUCAAGUACAGGAGCUCCCUUCCCCUGUUUCUUUCAAGUCUGUUACCAGAUUUGCAAAAGUUUGUUAAUAUGAUCAGUGUGAAAUGGAAUUCUGUCUGUGUUUCCAUUUCUUGCCCUGACUACUAGUGAGAUUAAGCUUAUUUUAUAUGAUUAUUUGCUGCCAUUUUCUUCUUGUGCAAGUUGCCUGUUUAUGUGCUUUGCACAAUUCUCUGUUGGGUUGUUUGUCUUUUUCUUACAGAUUUGUUGGGAUUCUUUAUAUAUUUGAAAUACUACUCCUUUGUUGGUAAAAUAUAUUUUCUCAAUUUGUGAC